rnacentral:rRNA from 1 species
UUCCGGUUGAUCCUGCCGGAGGCCACUGCUAUCGGAGUUCGAUUAAGCCAUGCGAGUCGAGAGGUGCAAGACCUCGGCAUACUGCUCAGUAACACGUGGACAACCUACCCUGUGGAGGGGAUAACCCCGGGAAACUGGGGAUAAUACCCCAUAGACUAUGGAUGCUGGAAUGCUCUGUAGCCGAAAGGUCCGCCGCCACAGGAUGGGUCUGCGGCCGAUUAGGUUGUUGUUGGGGUAACGGCCCAACAAGCCUGUAAUCGGUACGGGUUGUGGGAGCAAGAGCCCGGAGAUGGAUUCUGAGACACGAAUCCAGGCCCUACGGGGCGCAGCAGGCGCGAAAACUUUACAAUGCGGGAAACCGUGAUAGGGGAACUCCGAGUGCCCGUAAAAUCGGGCUGUCCAUCAGUUUAAAUAACUGGUGAAGAAAGGGCCGGGCAAGACCGGUGCCAGCCGCCGCGGUAAUACCGGCGGCUCGAGUGGUGGCCACUAUUACUGGGCUUAAAGCGUUCGUAGCUGGUUUGUUAAGUCCCUGGGGAAAUCUUCCGGCUUAACCGGAAGGCGUCUCAGGGAUACUGGCAGACUAGGGACCGGGAGAGGUGAGGGGUACUCCAGGGGUAGGAGUGAAAUCCUGUAAUCCUUGGGGGACCACCUGUGGCGAAGGCGCCUCACCAGAACGGCUCCGACAGUGAGGAACGAAAGCUGGGGGAGCAAACCGGAUUAGAUACCCGGGUAGUCCCAGCUGUAAACGAUGCGCGUUAGGUGUAUCGGUGACCACGAGUUACCGAGGUGCCGAAGAGAAAUCGUGAAACGUGCCGCCUGGGAAGUACGGUCGCAAGGCUGAAACUUAAAGGAAUUGGCGGG